AUGUAAAUAGUUUAAUUAAAACAUUGAUUUGUGGGGUCAGGGAUAUAUUUGUAGUAUUUUACAUA
rnacentral:tRNA from 1 species